UGCGACCCCAGGUCAGGCGGGACUACCCGCUGAGUUUAAGCAUAUCA
rnacentral:rRNA from 44 species